GACCGCGUAGUUCAGUUGGCAGAGCAUUGGGCUAGUAUUCCAAAGGUCGUAGGUUCGAAUCCCACCGUGGCCG
rnacentral:tRNA from 1 species